UAGGGAAUCUUCCACAAUGGGCGCAAGCCUGAUGGAGCAACACCGCGUGAGUGAAGAAGGGUUUCGGCUCGUAAAGCUCUGUUGUUAAAGAAGAACACGUAUGAGAGUAACUGUUCAUACGUUGACGGUAUUUAACCAGAAAGUCACGGCUAACUACGUG
rnacentral:rRNA from 4 species